rnacentral:rRNA from 1 species
AGUGAACGCUGGCGGUAGGCCUAACACAUGCAAGUCGAACGGCAGCACAGGAGAGCUUGCUCUCUGGGUGGCGAGUGGCGGACGGGUGAGGAAUACAUCGGAAUCUACCUUUUUCGUGGGGGAUAACGUAGGGAAACUUACGCUAAUACCGCAUACGACCUACGGGUGAAAGUGGGGACCGCAAGGCCUCACGCGAUUAGAUGAGCCGAUGUCCGAUUAGCUAGUUGGCGGGGUAAUGGCCCACCAAGGCGACGAUCGGUAGCUGGUCUGAGAGGAUGAUCAGCCACACUGGAACUGAGACACGGUCCAGACUCCUACGGGAGGCAGCAGUGGGGAAUAUUGGACAAUGGGCGCAAGCCUGAUCCAGCCAUACCGCGUGGGUGAAGAAGGCCUCGGUUGUAAGCC